ensembl:lncRNA
AUGGCCUUGCCCAGGCCACAAACAAAACAAAACAAACUCCACCAAAGCCCCCAGAAACCUAGCAACCACGUGACCCACCGACGGCACCAAAGUUUUCUCUCCCCAACAAAUCCAACUUUUAUUUUACUUUUCCUGGGUGAACGGCCUGCGCAUGCCCCCCACUGCCUCUCCUGCAGCCCUUUCUUCGCUCCACGGCAGGCUGUGGGAGGCCUCGAGGCGCCUUCUCAAGCUUUAAACUUCAAGAAACGAUGCUCAGACCGGUUCCUGACGCGCUGGUCAUCGGGAUCAGGCUUUUGUUAACAAGGCAAUAUAGCCCAGAAGCUGUGGCUUUUAAAAACAUCUCAACAAUUUAACUUGGUGGUUUCGGGAAUGAAUGACUUCAGGUCAAACAAGUAAUUAUCCUCAUGAGAUAAAUAGUUACUUAAUCCGUAAGGUUUUUCUUUUCCGACCAGGGGUUGGCGGGUAUUUUAAGACUGUAAUAACAAUGCCAGGGAGAUCAAAGCGCUAGGUAUUUUUUUCUUUUUCUUUUUAGAUCGGGCUUACUAAACUAUCUCAGUUUCCUCCUUCUCAAUCUCUUGCCGAAAGACUUUUAAAAACAAGUAAUUGGUUGUUCUCGAAAUCAGAACAAAGGAGAGAAAUCAUAUACUAUUUUCUUUAAAUCGACCUUCUUGAGCAAAACACAUUCUUUGGGUCCUUGUUGCCCACGCGGUCUGCAAACCGAGUCACAAAAUCGGCCUCUGUCCACGUGGGCUCCAAGAAAACGUCCAGAGAGUUGAGGCGGAAGAGUAACAAUUAACGGGGUAUGCUUAUCAACAGAUCUUUCAUAGGUGUGUUGUUUAAAGAUGACCUGUGGACAUUCUCCUUAAAACUAUUUCCAGAUCCUUAGACAGUGAAGGUUGUCAUGUUAUACGGCAAAAUAUAAAUAUAAUUCCCAUAAAACGUUAAAAGUCUGAAGACAAAUUUUCCAUCCCUAUUGACGGAAGCUUUAAUGCUACCUGACAUGUGUUGUUCCCAACAGAGAAACCACAUUUUAGUCCAAGAGUCUCAGUUUACUUCACUGUUAACAAUUUACAGUGUCAAUGGGCUCGGUUUUGGUGAUCAAUUCAUCAUCGAUGCGUGGUUGAGUCACUGAUCUACCAGGAAAUGGUCAUCAACAUGCUCUGUGUUCAAACUUAUUUUGAAACAAUAUGAAGAAGCUUUGCUGGAGAAUGUUGUCGCCACAAGGAUUUUGACUAACGAUCAGAGAAAUGACAUUGCAAUCAAGGAAGUAUACACUGUGAAGACUUAGUUAUUAUCUAGAGGAAUCACUGCAUUUGUGUAAUUUAGAAAAAUCUCCAAGAGUUUAUGUCACACCGCCGGACCUCUUUCUCCCAUGGUAAGGAGGGGGUGGUUUCGGAUGACUAAACAAACAAACAAACAAACAGAAAAGGGACAUUAGGAACUAAAGGAAAGUAUGAGGAGUUGGACAGGCAGUUUUGUUUUUUUUUUUACUAGAUCAACCAAUGCCACCUGACAAAGCUUUAGAGCGUCACAUAUUUUUUCUGAAACUAAUUUAUUACAAUUCUUCAUGGCACGGGUUUAUGAUGCUGAAAAUGAAAAAUGUGUUCUACAGAGAGUUGUCCCUUGAUGCACUGAGCAGGGAGGUGUGUGUGUGGGGGGGGAACACAACAAGAAAGAAGAGAUAAGGAUAAAUUUUUAGGGAAAGGUUCUCAUUAAGAUAGAAAGUUCUGUUUCAAUAUUUAGUGUUUAAGGGGAAACUAUAUACAUAUGUAUUUGUCAUAUCUACUCUUUAAACAUAAAACUGAACAGAAAAUGUAGAGUCAAAACCCCUUGAUUUAACUUUUCUGUUAAAUGUCUCAUUUAGCCUGUUCUUUUCCUUUCUGCUUUGAUCAUCUUUUUUACACUUUUUUUUUCCUUCUUCCCAACGGCACCUGAUCGUCUUGAUAAGAGGUCCGUUUUUUCCCAGGUGCGGUUCUGAUACUAUUAAUUAAAGCAGAGACCAUAGGCAGAGCUCGCAGGAGGUGGGGAGGGUGCUGGCACGAGCGGGGAACCUCGAGCGGAAAAGUCCUCCAGACUUAAGGACUCAGGGACCCCAUUUCCGAGGGCAACUCCACGCCCCUGGCCCUGUACAUAAAACCAUCACAAGACGCAAACGGGACUGUCCUUCUCCUGCUGAGGCGCUCCACCUCUUCUGACCUGGUCAAGCACCAGACCCUCCGCGAUCGCCGUCGCACCCACACUGCAGCGGCCACCGCACGGGCGGGCGUAAUCAGUGGGGAUUACCAAUCACCCUCACGCGCGUUUACACGCAGGAGGAAAAAAGAGAAAGAAAAGGAGAAAUCAAAAACUCAUCCAGUUCUCCACCUGCCGGUCCUUUUUGGAUUUGGGCAAAGCCCAGAGAUCCCCUCCAAGGUCCUCCUAAUGUCAAGGACCGAAGGCGGGAGGUGGCCAUGGGGACUCAGGUGAAAUUAAGGGUCUGGAGCGGCGCUAAACGCGUCCCCCGACUCAACCGUUGUGGUUGUAUUAGACCCUAGGGGCGAAACAACGGGUAAAGCAGCCUAAGCCAGAAUUUCAAAAACUCCCUGGAGGCCACUGAAUGUUUUAUGCAUCAGAAGGGAAGGCCG